rnacentral:rRNA from 1 species
GACGAACGCUGGCGGCGUGCCUAAUACAUGCAAGUUGAGCGCUGAAGGUUGGUACUUGUACCAACUGGAUGAGCAGCGAACGGGUGAGUAACGCGUGGGGAAUCUGCCUUUGAGCGGGGGACAACAUUUGGAAACGAAUGCUAAUACCGCAUAAAAACUUUAAACACAAGUUUUAAGUUUGAAAGAUGCAAUUGCAUCACUCAAAGAUGAUCCCGCGUUGUAUUAGCUAGUUGGUGAGGUAAAGGCUCACCAAGGCGAUGAUACAUAGCCGACCUGAGAGGGUGAUCGGCCACAUUGGGACUGAGACACGGCCCAAACUCCUACGGGAGGCAGCAGUAGGGAAUCUUCGGCAAUGGACGAAAGUCUGACCGAGCAACGCCGCGUGAGUGAAGAAGGUUUUCGGAUCGUAAAACUCUGUUGGUAGAGAAGAACGUUGGUGAGAGUGGAAAGCUCAUCAAGUGACGGUAACUACCCAGAAAGGGACGGCUAACUACGUGCCAGCAGCCGCGGUAAUACGUAGGUCCCGAGCGUUGUCCGGAUUUAUUGGGCGUAAAGCGAGCGCAGGUGGUUUAUUAAGUCUGGUGUAAAAGGCAGUGGCUCAACCAUUGUAUGCAUUGGAAACUGGUAGACUUGAGUGCAGGAGAGGAGAGUGGAAUUCCAUGUGUAGCGGUGAAAUGCGUAGAUAUAUGGAGGAACACCGGUGGCGAAAGCGGCUCUCCGGCCUGUAACUGACACUGAGGCUCGAAAGCGUGGGGAGCAAACAAGAUUAGAUACCCUGGUAGUCCACGCCGUAAACGAUGAGUGCUAGAUGUAGGGAGCUAUAAGUUCUCUGUAUCGCAGCUAACGCAAUAAGCACUCCGCCUGGGGAGUACGACCGCAAGGUUGAAACUCAAAGGAAUUGACGGGGGCCCGCACAAGCGGUGGAGCAUGUGGUUUAAUUCGAAGCAACGCGAGGAACCUUACCAGGUCUUGACAUACUCGUGCUAUUCCUAGAGAUAGGAAGUUCCUUCGGGACACGGGAUACAGGUGGUGCAUGGUUGUCGUCAGCUCGUGUCGUGAGAUGUUGGGUUAAGUCCCGCAACGAGCGCAACCCCUAUUGUUAGUUGCCAUCAUUAAGUUGGGCACUCUAACGAGACUGCCGGUGAUAAACCGGAGGAAGGUGGGGAUGACGUCAAAUCAUCAUGCCCCUUAUGACCUGGGCUACACACGUGCUACAGUGGAUGGUACAACGAGUCGCGAGACAGUGAUGUUUAGCUAAUCUCUUAAAACCAUUCUCAGUUCGGAUUGUAGGCUGCAACUCGCCUACAUGAAGUCGGAAUCGCUAGUAAUCGCGGAUCAGCACGCCGCGGUGAAUACGUUCCCGGGCCU